rnacentral:rRNA from 1 species
CCUACGGGUGGCAGCAGUGAGGAAUAUUGGUCAAUGGGCGCGAGCCUGAACCAGCAAAGUCGCGUGAGGGAAGACGGUCCUAUGGAUUGUAAACCUCUUUUGUCGGGGCGCAAAAGACGCCACGCGUGGCGUUCCGAGAGUACCCGAAGAACAAGCAUCGGCUAACUCCGUGCCAGCAGCCGCGGUAAUACGGAGGAUGCGAGCGUUAUACGGAUUUAUUGGGUUAAAGGGGUGCGCAGGCGGAAGAUCAAGUCAGCGGGAAAAUUGAGAGGCUCAACCUCUUCGAGCCGUUGAAACUGGUUUUCUUGAGUGAGCGAGAAGUAUGCGGAAUGCGUGGUGUAGCGGUGAAAUGCAUAGAUAUCACGCAGAACUCCGAUUGCGAAGGCAGCAUACCGGCGCUCAACUGACGCUCAUGCACGAAAGUGUGGGUAUCGAACAGGAUUAGAUACCCCGGUAGUC